GCGGACGGGUGAGUAAUGCUUGGGAACUUGCCUUUGCGAGGGGGAUAACAGUUGGAAACGACUGCUAAUACCGCAUAAUGUCUUCGGACCAAACGGGGCUUCNGCUCCGGCGCAAAGAGAGGCCCAAGUGAGAUUAGCUAGUUGGUAAGGUAACGGCUUACCAAGGCGACGAUCUCUAGCUGUUCUGAGAGGAAGAUCAGCCACACUGGGACUGAGACACGGCCCAGACUCCUACGGGAGGCAGCAGUGGGGAAUAUUGCACAAUGGGGGAAACCCUGAUGCAGCCAUGCCGCGUGUGUGAAGAAGGCCUUCGGGUUGUAAAGCACUUU
rnacentral:rRNA from 1 species